rnacentral:tRNA from 1 species
UGCUCCUUAGUGUAAGAAACACAUCUGUUUUGCACUCAGAAGAUGGAGGGUUUCCUUCAGGAGCAU